rnacentral:misc_RNA from 1 species
ACCAUCUCCUCAAAAUUACCAUUUUGAACACCGAGCAGGAGUCGUUUCUGUUACCUUUCUAUUUCUCACUGCUUAUGCCGAUCGCUUCAAUCUCUCUCUUCCUCCACCGAACCCCCGCGGUCAGCAGCCUCGUCCGCCACAUCACCACCUUUCGCCACCUCUCCAUAGCCGUAGCCAAGCAACAUCAACAACAAAAGAACCCCAACAAUGUCUCUGGAAAACCCCAACUGGACAAGAAUCUCCUCGGAGCCAAGCAUACCUUCAUCGAAUAUUCCUCCCUGGCGCCAAUACUCUCUCUGGAGGACCAAGCUGACCUCUCCGAUUCCCAAGCUAUCGGCACUGUCGCUGCCGCCCAAGCCAACUUCAUGCGCGUUAUCGUCCAAUCACUCCCUUCCUACUCAGAGCUUUCUAGCACCUUCC